AGUACACGGGCCACUGUUAGGUUAGGGUUCAGUACACGGGCCACUGUUAGGUUAGGGGUUCAGUACACGGGCCACUGUUAGGUUAGGGGUUCAGUACACGGGCCACUGUUAGGUUAGGGGUUCAGUACACGGGCCACUGUUAGGUUAGGGGUUCAGUACACGGGCCACUGUUAGGUUAGGGGUUCAGUACACGGGCCACUGUUAGGUUAGGGGUUCAGUACACGGGCCACUGUUAGGUUAGGGGUUCAGUACACGGGCCACUGUUAGGUUAGGGGUUCAGUACACGGGCCACUGUUAGGUUAGGGGUUCAGUACACGGGCCACUGUUAGGUUAGGGGUUCAGUACACGGGCCACUGUUAGGUUAGGGGUUCAGUACACGGGCCACUGUUAGGUUAGGGGUUUAGUACACGGGCAACUGUGUGAAAGUGAUUUACAUUUUACAUACACCCUUCACCCUUCCAUAUAGUCUAAUAUAAUAAUAAUAAUAAUAAUAAUAAUAAUAAAUGCCAUUUAGCAGACGCUUUUAUCCAAAGCGACUUACAGUCAUGUGUGCAUACAUUCUACGUAUGGGUGGUCCCGGGGAUCGAACCCACUACCCUGGCGUUACAAGCGCCAUGCUCUACCAACUGAGCUACAGUUACUAUGGCAACUGUCAAACAAUGCCCCCACCAAUUUGGCUAUAAUUUAUACUUUAUUUUUAUUGUUUUACCUUUAUUUAAAUAGGUAAGUCAGUUAAGAACAAAUUCUUAUUUACAAUGACGGCCUACAGCAGCCAACGUUGGGCCAA